GGGAGGGAGUGAGGGAGGUAGAUAGUGUCCCACUGCCUUCACAUCCUCCGUA
rnacentral:pre_miRNA from 1 species